AGCUUUCAACUUCUUCUCCCCCCCCCCUCUCUCCCUCUCUCUCUCUCUCUCUCUCUCUCUAAUUUAGGCUUCAGCUUCUACUGCAAAGUAAUUUCUCUCAUAUAUCAGAAACAAGUGCCAGGAAUACCUCCUCAGUCCUCUCAUGACUCACUAAAUGACCACCAUGGAGAUCUAUCAUCCUAGCAACUGGCUGCAGCUUCUCUGCAAGUCUCCUGGCAUAGUAUAAUUGAGCAAUGAUAUCAUACCUACAUUCAAAGGACCUCAAGUUAAUCUUAAGCAGGUAUGAUUUAUGGACAGUGUCAUUAAUAGCACAUCAUAGACCUGGACACGUUCGGUUCUAGUUUGAUCUAGUUCAGUUAAAUCCAGUUCACCAGGUUUUUGGAUUCAACAUCCGAUCAAAUGAGUUUGACUGAAGAUGGUUUUUGUUAAAUUGGAUUUGACUGAUUUCACUCCAAACCCAGACCACGCCCAUGUCCAGCACAUCACCACAGAAACAUGCCCAAAACAUCCAAUGACACAUACAUGAUACACAUGCAAAAUGAUUCAUUUCAUCAUGCAAUAUAAUGAUAAUUUGCACAAAAUUUCUUGAUGCACCCAAACACACAUGGCCGUGCACACACACCACCCAUGUUGUAGUUCAUCCAAAUGCUUGAAACCACCAAAGAACAAGGUUCUUACUUGAAUUGUCUGUUUCAAAAAUACAACCAAUAACAAAUGCUAACGUUAAUCUAUAUGGUUUUAAAUCGCCACCAUGGCAUUUGCAGUAGCAUGUCAUAGUGUAGGGAUUGCCAUGGACAUAACUGAACAGCUAUUAGGAAGGAAAAGUAUGCCCAUGACAUAUAGUUGUUGCAGUGGCCCUUUUUCAUAUAAACCAAUUGCGUUGAAUGCAUAAAAUUUAACAUUUGCAACUAAUAAAUGAAAAAGAAAACCAA